ACUCAAAUGAAUAGACGGGGGCCCGCACAAGCGGCGGAGCGUGUUCUUUAAUUCGUCGCAACGCGAAGAACCUUACCAGGGCUUGACAUGGACCUGCAUCCCCGGGAAACCGGGUGGCCUUCGAGGGUGGUCCACAGGUGCUGCAUGGCUGUCGUCAGCUCGUGUCGUGAGAUGUUGGGUUAAGUCCCGCAACGAGCGCAACCCUUGUGUCCAGUUGUGUUUUUCUGGACAGACUGCCGGGAGCAAACCGGAGGAAGGUGGGGAUGAUGUCAAGUCAGCAUGGCCCUUACGCCCUGGGCAAGAAACACGCUACAAUGGCCGGGACAGUGGGUUGCCAAGCGGCAACGCGGAGCCAAUCCCCCAAACCCGGUCUCAGUUCGGAUCGGGGGCUGCAACUCGCCCCCGUGAAGGUGGAGUCGCUAGUAACCGCCGGUCAGCACUACGGCGGUGAAUAUGUUCCCGGGCCUUGUACACACCGCCCGU
rnacentral:rRNA from 1 species